UACGAAGGGUGCAAGCGUUAAUCGGAAUUACUGGGCGUAAAGGGUGCGUAGGCGGUUAGUUAAGUCUGUUGUGAAAUCCCCGGGCUCAACCUGGGAAUGGCAAUGGAUACUGGCUGGCUAGAGUGUGUCAGAGGAUGGUGGAAUUCCCGGUGUAGCGGUGAAAUGCGUAGAGAUCGGGAGGAACAUCCGUGGCGAAGGCGGCCAACUGGGCCGGACCUGACGCUGAGGCGCGAAGGCGUGGGGAGCGAACGGG
rnacentral:rRNA from 1 species